ACUGGAAGACCUAGCCCCAGCACGGCAUUCCGCACGGCGAUGGCCAGACGACCGUCCCCUCUUCCCCGACCUGUCCGCGGCAGACAUGCGAACGCUUCGCGCCGCGCUGAUCUGUUUCCGCCCCAGAUUCGUUCUGGUUCGCGAGCUACGGUAGCCCUGCAACUGGGGGGUCAUCGUUGAGGGCCCAGAUUUGAAGGCCAUUGUAAUAGAUUGGAGAAAAACAUAUCAUUGAAUGUAAUUGUAUACACCUCCUUCCAAUCAGCACCUGUAGAAAAUAUGGAAAUGUGAUGCUGCAAAGGUCAUGUUGUCUUGCCAGUUCCAUGAAUGAAAUACCAAGGCGGGCUGCAUUCUGGCUCAGGGAAAAUAUCGGCAAUUGCUGAAAAUAGAAGUGCUCCAGCAAAAAACUGCAAAGCAAGGAUGAAAAAGGAUAUUUAUGGAUGCCCCCAUGGACCUUGUACAAUUUCGUGCUUAAGAUGUACUGUGAGAAAUGAAUCUUGAUUGGAGCAACUAAAUGGAAAACCCACACUACCAGUUACAGCUUUUAAAGGGAAACAAUUGCAAAGGCAAUGCAUGCAUCAAAUGAAACACUUGAUGCCAAUGAUGAAUACUACUCCCUCCGUUCCUAAAUAUAAGUCUUUUUAGAGAUUCCAACAUGGACUACAUAUGGAUGUAUAUAGACAUAUUUUAGAGUGUAGAUUCACUCAUUUUGCUCCGUAUGUAGUCCAUGCUGGAAUCUCUAAAAAGACUUAUAUUUAUGAACGGAGGGAGUACAUGAUAAUAGUAUGAAGAGACAGCAGGAGUGAAGGGCUGAAGGAAGAUGCAUGUAAGCGUACCGAGGGAGGUGCUUAAGCCGCCUACGAGAGACAGGGUGAGAGCAACAGCGACCUUGGGAUCCAUAUGAACAGACCGGCUUCUGAUGGAGAUGUAUGUGACCUUUAUAUACAGGCCAGGAUGGUGACUAUGACGUUAGGCAGUCAAGGAGUCCCUGUGUGCGGGGCAACCGAUGAUGUAACUGAAUGGAAAGAAGAGGGAGGGGUGAUCAAGUGGAGCUGCUGGCGCCUGGUUAUAUAUUAGCUUGAACAUCUACUCAGAGAAGUUGAGGGGGGCAAGUUUGGAAUGACUUGGCACAUGCUUGCUUGCUUGGCAGCUGCCCUUAAUUCUUGACUUCCUGGUGGUUGGGGUAUGCCUGCGGGUAAGGUCAUGCUGUGAGGUAACUCUAUGCUAGAUUUCUUGUGUGUAGAUGGGAAGAAAGCUAUUUGGGACUAGGAAUCUUACAAGCUGACUGGCAGAGCCUUGCUAAAACACGAGGGACGUAUCUUAUUUUGUUUUUGUAUGGAAUUACAUCAUGUAAGCACUAAAUUUUGAUUUUUCAUCGUAUAAAUUGCAGCACCGUAUUAGUUA